AAAUACCUUUCGUUUUUCUUCCCAUUCCUGCUUUGCUUUUCAAUGUUAAACAGUGGAUUUACAAAUUUCCCCUUACUAUUUGUUGGCUGGGGGUGCCACCACCUCUAAGAAGAUACCUGUUUGUUCCAUUUGGGUCCAGAAUCUCCCCAGUUCUCUUUCUCACAAACCACGAACCAAAAAAUUCUCUCUCUAAAAAGAUCACGAACCCCAGCACAAUCUCUCUCAAAACCUGUUAACCACAACACAAUCCGGUCCCGAUUCGAAGAAAGCUUUAAGCCCAGAAAAAGUUCGGUUUCAUGGUGAGUUCUCCUACCGAUUUGGUGCUUCUUUUUGUUUUUGUUUUUUCUAGAUAGCAUGCAGUCUUUUCUGAGUUAAUGGUUGAGGGCUUUGUUACAAAAAUAAAGUAGUGGUUGUGGGUCAGGUAUGAGGUUUUUUAGGUACUCAAGAUUCCUGAAUUCUAAAUGUGUUGAAUUUGCUUUUGUUUUUCACUAAUUGCAUGCAUCAUAGAAUUAAUACAAAUACAAAAUGGAAAAAUGAUUUUCAUCCAUAAAUAAUAUUCAAAUACUUGAAAAGUUUGUUUUAAAUUGGGUUUGGUUUCAUUGGUUUUUCUGAUUUUGAAACUUUUGUUUUCAGGCUCCAAAGGCUUUUAGGGGCUUGUUUGGUAUCAUAUUAAAAAAAAAUCAUUAUUUCUCAAAACAUUUUUUUAAGAAUCUCUCUUAAAAACAAUUUUCUUUUAAGAUUCAAAAACUUGUUUAGUAUGAGAUUUAAAAUUAUUUUUAAAUCUUAGAUAAGUUUGCUGAAAUUAAGUAUGGUUCCUUUGCAGGGGAGUUUGUUUUGAUUUUUUGUGGAAGAAUUCCAGUUUCCAGCGCUUCGUAUUCUUCAAUUACAGGUAAAUGAAUGUUGCAUGUGAAAUUUUUUUUCACCAAAUAAAGAAAACCCUUUUGUUGGGUUGGGCGAAGCCAUAUUGCUUCUAUUGGCAUAAAACUAUUCCCACACAAUCAAAGUAUGCAGUGGUUUGAUAAUUAAGUACAGAAAAUCUUCGGCUGAUAUCCUUCUUCUCUUUGCGUGAUAAAACCAUGUUUUUUGGAUUAUGAUGCUUAUUCUGAUUCGUAUCUGUAAUCAUUGAUGAUAUAACAUUGUAGGCUUGGAGUAGGUUUUGUAGUCUUUUUCCUGAAAUAUAACUGAGUACUUCAUAAUCGUUGCAGUCCUUGGUUUGUGAUUUUGUUGCUCGAGUACCGAGGUUUAUCUUUUGGUGCUCUCUUAUUGGUUCUCACAUUUGAUUCAUCUCACCAAAUCAUUAAUGUAGAUUUCCUCUUGAAAUUUUAGCUUUGAAAUAGGUAGGUGGCGAUCUUUGCUUGGCUCUAUCAGUUGAUUCACAUAACCUAAUAAUUGAAGUCUUCUUUUCCUUGGGUCGGAAAAAUGGCAAUAAUUCUACUUGAGUUGAUAUUUCUUAAAAAAAAACUAAUGAAAAGGGCAUCAAAUUUUUACAUUUUAAUAAAAAAUCAUCCAUUAAUUUUAUUUAAUGACAAGGACAAAAGAAUUAAAAAAAAACAUAAAAAACCGAACUUGCGCUGGGCGCGUCCCCCAACCCCCCUUCCACACUCCACUUUUUUCCCGAUUGUCUGAUACAUUAAUAGAUUUUUUAUUUAUUUUAUUUUUGCUUAGAAUAAGAAAAAGAGUUCAAACUGAAUUACAUUCCCCAUUUUUAUAUUUCUGGUGUUUUUUUUUCUAAUAAUAGUCAAGAUAAUGAGAAAUUUUUCAAUGUGCUCGGAGCACGGGAUGGUACACCACGUGUAUCUAUACAAGUUGUGAGAUUCUUGUGUAAAAAAUUAAUUACACAAAAAAUAAAAUUUUUCGCUACUUACAUAAUAACACGUGGUGUGCCACUUGUGUUAUGGGCACAAGGUAAAGUUUCUUCAAGAUGACACUCAAGCUCCAAAAAUUGGAUGGAGAGCUGCAUUUAUUUUUGUAGGUAUGUAAAAAAAUGUGAGGAAAUUUUAAUUUAGUAAUUGAAAACAACUUUUUAAAUAUAAUUAUCGAGAACAUAAUCUUCUCAAGGUUUUGAUCUAAUGGAUCACUUCUGGGUUCAUCGUUUUGGGCGCAAUGAGUGCUUUUACAGGACCAAAAAGAGUCUUAAGUUUCAAACCUUAUGAAACUGAACCAAGAAGUAAACACUAUUUAUAAAAGUUGACCAAUAAGUAGACACUAUUUAUGAAACUAAAUCAAUUAGCAUACACUAUAUAUGAAAUUGAACCAAUAAGUAUACACUAUUUAUGAACGAAAACAAGAAUUAGACAAUAUUUCUAAAACUAAACCAAUAGAUGAAAAUUAUUUAUGAAACUGGACUAUACAAUAUUUACGAAACUGGACUAAGAAUUAGACAAUAUUUAUGAAACAAGAUCAAGAACUAGGCAUUAUUUAUGAAAGUGGAUCAAUAACUAGGCACUAUUUAUGAAACUGGACCAAGAAAGAGACACUAUUUAUGAAAUUAUACUAAUUACUAUACAUUAUUUAUAAAACUGGACCCAAUAACUAGGCUUUAUUUAGUCCAAGCAUUUUUCAUGAAAGUUCCCAUUUCUUAAUGAAAUAAACUAAUAGAAUAAUUAAGUCCUUUUGGGACCGCUCUUGCGCGGUUUAGAAUCACUUCUGAAUAAAGCACCUCCCACUUUUAAACCUAGAAUCACCUCCCAAAUAGGCCCUAAGCAAUACAAGAUCCAAAAGCUUUAAAUAAUCAUUUAAGUUAAUCCACCUGCUAAUUAGGAAGAAAAAUAAUCAAUUUGUAAAGUACUCUAAUAACAGUGGUUGUGGAAAAUGGAAACGGCUCCCCUCCGGAUCCAUUAUGUGGGGAUCCUAGAAAGCCUCACAUCUCAGUCAUUCAUCGUGUAUCGUGAUGUCAGAAAUCAUUUGACUUUUAUUAUUUUAAAUUAAACAUAAAUAAUACCUGACGAAAAUUGACUGCACGAUAGACGAUGAACGGCUGAGAUGUGGGGAUCCCAGGAUCCCCACAUAAUGGAUCUGGAGGGGAUUGGAAAAUUAGUAUUUGGUCCUCCCUAGUUACUAAUGCUUAUUGAUUAAGACGUUAUUAGUUUUCAGAUUUUGAUUAAAGUCCCUACCAUUAAUGUAUUGAUGAAUUUAGAUGUCAGUUAUAUAAUUUUUUGAAAUAAAAUUAGUAAUUGUUUUAAGGUUUUAAUAUUCACACCCUUAUUACACUCCUAAUUAAUUUUCAAUUCAAAAUAUUUCCAAAAAAAAAAAAAAAAGAUUUAGUUUGCACCCAUUAAAUUUUUUUGUUUAGAAAUAUUUUCAAUUUUUAAUCUUAAAUGUAACCAUUCAUAUAACUUUUCAAUUUUUUAAUCCUAAAUGUAAACAAUACUUUUUUUUUAGUAUAACAUGUACCCAUUUCUUUUUAUAUAAGAUCCAUUCCAUUUUUUUCUAAUCUAUAUUUUAAACUUAUAUGGGUACAUUCUAUUUCGUUGAUCUAAGAAUGUAUCCCCGUCAAGGAAGAAAAUAUCGGUAAUAUCGGAAAUAUCGGUAGUCCGAAAACAUGGAAAUAUCGAUGGAAAUAUCGGGAUAAUAUCGAUAUCGAUAAAAAUUACAUGGAAACCACGGAAAUUGUAAGAAAAACUUGGAAAUUUUUAUUGAAACUUUGCAGGAUGUUUAUUUAGUCAAUUAUCUAUUAGUUUAUCACAAAAAAUUGGAAGGAAAUGCAUUGCAUGAUGGAUUUAACAUUAUCAAGUUGAUUAUAUAGCGAGCUGACAAACAUUGUGACUAUAGAAAAUAUGUAGAAAUUAAUGAAAGAAGUCUAAACACACCAUAAUCAUUAUAUAUAAUGAAUUAGUACAAUAUUUUACACUUUAUACAUUGCAUGGUAAGAUACAUGAGUGACUUAGUACCACAUAGAGUUCCUAUGAGGUUCAAAAUUUUCACUAUCUUCAUCAUCUCUAUGUGUAGAGUGAGUGUAUUUUGAAGAGUAGUUACCAACUAUGGCAAUGGUUUUCAAGAACCAAAACCCAAAAGUCAAUAGGAAACCGAAUACUUCAGUAUUUUUCGGGAUUACCAAACAAAUGGGAUUUGGAAACCAAUCCCAUAUCGAAAAUUUCGGUAUUUUUCGGGAUGGGAUUCCCGAACUUCAGGAUGGUUUUGGUUUAGGAUUUUUCGGUUUGGGUUUGGGACUUUUUCGGUUUGGUUUGGGAUUUUCCGGAAUUUUUUCCAGCCCUUGACCAAAUAAAAAAUAGAAAAAUUAAAAACCACUUGCCAUUGACUAAGUAAUUAAUUGACACAAUUUAAAAUAUAAUACCACAAAAAAUUUGGAAUAUGUGCAAAUUUGUUUCUUGUAAAAAUAAACCAUAUAUAUAAAUAUUGUAGCUUAUUAUCAUAACAACAUAAGUGGUACAGUGGUUAAGGCCUUAAGAAGUUAAGGGGGAGGGGUUCGAACCCCUUUAUACUCAAAACCGAGUCUUUUCCAAAUUUUAAGGAAUUUUUGGACUAAUAUCGCGACAUUUUAGCGAAUAUCGCGAUAUUAUAAAAAAUAUCGAGAAAUAUCGCGAUAUUAUCGAUAUUUGCGAUAAUAUCGCGAUAUUUUAACGAAAACUCAUUGGAUACUCCUUAAAAUAUCGGUAAGUAAAAAAAACGAAAAUUUCGCCGAUAUUUUCGAUAUUUAAAUCCAUGAUCCCCGUCAAGUUUAAUCAAAUAAAUUUAAUAAUGUUAUUAAGUCUUUUUUUGUGGUUUUGGAAAAUGUACCCAUGUUUUGGUACAAUAAUUUUUUUACUAUUAUUUACGAAUGUGUAUAUACACAAUAUAUUGGAGAGUAUAAUUUAUCCUUUAAUAUUUUUAAUUCCACUAAUUAUGGGUUUUAUUUAAAAUCUCAUAAAUAUAAACAACUAUAACUACAAAUUUCAAUUUUCAAUUUAAGAAUAUAAUAACUUACAUAUAAAUAUAUUAUUUCAUUAAUGUCAAAGACUUAGAUCAAAAGCUGAAAACCAACAAGAUUUCAGUUAAAGAGCAUUGAUAGUUAGGGAUCGCAUCCCAACUCUGCCCUUAAAAAAUUAUUAUUCUAAGCAAUGCGCAUCUAAAACUAUGAUAUCUCAUCUUAUCAAUCUUAGAUUUAAAUAGUGACUAGAGAUUACAAAGAGAGAUGAAAACAAGUUUAAUAACAAUUAAGGAUUUUGUUAUUGCAUGAUUCAGUGAGUUUCUUACUGAAUAACAUCGUAGAGGAGAAAUGAUCACUUGUAGGAAAAUGAUUCAAUGAGUUUGUUACUAGAUAACAUUUGAUUCAUUUUUUAUUUGCUCAAUAAAACGAUUAAAAAGAAAUUAGAGUGUGUAUAAGUAACAAAUUAAUGAGAGUUUGUAAAAUGUAAAAAGAAAUGAGAGUAUGUAAUGGGAUCAUUAACAACAUAAUCAAGAAUAAUCAUUAUGUUUAUCUCAUUGAAUCAGCAUUUUCUAUUUGUCAAAAAAUAGGACAAACAUAAUGAUGUCUAAAUUCAGAAGCUGGAAUACAACUAUGAUUCAUUGAGUUUCUUUUUGUCAGAAAAUGUAAGUUGAUGUCUAACUUCAGAGUUGUACAGCUAUAGAGUAUGCUAUUUAUUUCAUCUUAUACUCCAUAUUUGUGCUUAGAGAUAAGCAAAAUGAUGUAUGAGAAACUUCAUCAAGCAGCCCUUUUGUUUUAAUGGUUUUUCGGUUGAUGUUUUGUUUAAUGGUUGCUCUUUUGCGACUAAAUUGGUGGUUUCAUAUAUUAAGUUCAAUUGUUAGAAAGUAGAAUUUUUCUUCGGUUUGGACGUGAUUUUUUCCAUAUAUUUAAUUACUUACAGAACUUGAUCGUCUCUGUUUCAACUCUGUUUGCGUUAUGAAUAGCAACUCUUUCCAAGUUUAACAUGGAUUUAUUUUUAGAGUGGAAUUAUGUACAGAAAAUCUCUAAAGAUGCUGACAAUGGAGGGACAUUGAUUCAGAACACAGUGGUCAAGUCUUUACAAGCUAAUUCUGCAGGUAAUAGAAACUACACCUUUUCUCUCUGCUUGCAUGCUUUUUAACAUAGAGAGAAAUUGAAAUUGUACUUUAGAAUUAGCGUUCUUUUUUAUGAUCUACUGCCUGGUAAGGGUUCUUGAAAUUGUAUUUUAGAAUUAGUGUUUUUCUUGAUUCAAAACAAAAGGUCUAUAAUUUCCUUCCUACAUUCCAUGUAUUUACAUAGUAUUGCCUAUUGUAAAUAUAUUUACAAAUUUUACAUGUUUUAUACGGUUUUGAAACACUCAACAUAAGGGACCUCUGUUUCAUAUGUAUUUAUUUUUGCUUAAAUGUCAAAAUGGUCCCUGUAUUGUAGCCACAUGGCAAAUUUAGUCCCCAUGUUUUUGUUUUGGUUAAUUUAGUCAUCAUGUUUGUUUCUGUUAGUCAAUUAAGGAUAUUUCAUUCAAUCUCUUUUAAAAAAUUCAUAAGAAAAUUUAUAUGAGAUAUUAUUAUCAUUUCUCUUUACAAAAAAAUGCAAAUUAAUAAGAAAUAACACAUAUAAGAGAUAAAACUUCCAAUCUGAAAAAUGAUUAAGAUUGUGACAUAGAAAAGAGAGGGUAAUGUUAGGGAGGAGGUCGGGAAAUUGGAAGGAGAAUAAAUUUUCUUUUAAUUUCAUUUUUAAAUAUUUUAAAUCAAAUAAAUAAUUUUAUAAAUAAGUUUACAAUAAUUUAUAAAAAAUUUUACAGAAAUUAGAUGGAAAUGUCCUUAAUUGGCUAAUGAAGAUAAACACAAUGACCAAAUUGAUCAAAUUGAAAACACAUGAAUUAAAUUGACCCAAUAACUAAAACACAGAGACCAUUUUAACAUUGAAGCCUUUAUUUUUAGAACACUUCCAGCCCAGCCAAGUCCCCUGGGCGAUGAGCUCUGGAAUCCCCCUACCCAAAAAAAAAGAAAAAGAAAACGCAGCUCCAGCCCAUUCCAAUAACCUCGGCUCCCCUGGAGCCCCCACUUUUCCCCCAGGUCCGAAUUGACUGGCCCAGCCACCGGGUGGUAUGACAUCACUUUGAUGUUAGCCAUGAUUAGAAAAUUAUAAAAAAUACAAAAACUUAUAAAAAGUCAAUUAAAAAUAUAAAAAAGUUAUAAAUUUUUUUCUAUAAAUACCAUAUUUUUUCACUUUACAUCACAUUUCAAUAUUUUCAAAUACUUUUCAACCAAUUUUUUAUUGUCAUUCCAAAUUAAAAAUAAAAUUAUUUCUUAUUAAAAAAUAUUUUAAUACCAAUAACCUGGGCUAUUUGGUGGAGAUGUAAUGAGACAGUUACUGUUCACUAAAGACAGUUACUAACUUACCAUCCACUUUGGCGGAUUGGGUUGCCUAUAGCACAUGGAGACAUUUAGGGGUAGGGUUGCUCUAAAAAGUGGAGUUUUAAGGCAGCCGAUGAGAAAUGACUCCAAACGCAUCUACUUUUGUGUUAAAUAUAAUAAAGUCAGUCUUUGUUUAAUAUCAAUCCAAUAACUCUUGGUUUGAAUUAGUUUAUUUGUAGCGAAAACGAACCAUAGUUUUCGUUACAUUGAUAUUGCUAGCUAAUUUGUGAUUAUCUCCCCCAGCAAAACUCAAUUCCAUUUGCAAAGAAGAGAUCGAUCAUGGCUGUGGAGGUGGUAGGCGGAGCAUUUUUCUCCGCUUUCUUUCAACAAGUAUUUCAAAAGAUGGAUUCUCAGGAGGUCAAGAACUUCAUCAGAGGAAAGAAACUGACUGAUGGGUUGCUGAAGAAGUUGAGGAUCGAGUUGUUAUCUGUCAAUGCUGUUUAUGAUGAUGCCGAGCAAAAGCAAUUAAGUAACCCAGUUGUGAAGCAGUGGCUGCAUGAGCUUAAAGAGGCAGUCUUUCAUGCUGAGGACCUUCUGGACGAGAUCAAGACAGAAGCGUUAAAGCGGAAAAUGGAAGCUGAAUUUGGAAGUAGCAUAAGCAAGGUACAAGACCUCAUCUCUGCUUCUUUCCAUGCUUUUGAUGAGUCUAUAGACAACAAGAUAAAGGAAAUUAUUGAGACGCUAAGCUUCAUUUCACAACAGAAAGAUGCCUUCGGUUUGAAAGAACGUUGUAGUCACAGAAUCUCACAAACAUUGCCUUCAACUUCUUUAGUAGAAGGCUCUGAUGUAUAUGGAAGAGAUCAUGAGAAGGAAACCAUCAUUCAAUUGUUGCUAUCAGAUGAUGUUACUUGUAAUAAGAUUGGCGUCAUUCCCAUCGUGGGCAUGGGUGGGAUCGGAAAGACCACCCUUGCCCAGCUCUUAUACAAUGAUGAUAAAGUGAAGCAGCAUUUUGUGCUCCAGGCAUGGGUUUGUGUUUCUGAUGAAUUUGGCGUUGUUAAGAUCACACAAACAAUUUAUGCAUCAGUCACUUCACAAACCUGUGAUACCACAGACCUAGACCAGCUUCAAGUCAAACUCAAAGAUGCUUUGAAGGGGAAGAAGUUUCUUUUUGUUCUUGAUGAUGUUUGGAAUGAGAAUUACAAUAUUUGGGAUUCCUUAAGGCGCCCCUUCGAGUCUGGAGCUCAUGGAAGUAAGAUCAUUGUCACCGCAAGGAAUGAUGGCGUUGCAACUACGAUGGGUACUUUGCAAACCCACUAUUUAAAGAACUUACUUGAGGAAGACUGUUGGUUUUUAUUUGCAAAACAUGCCUCCAAAGAUGCAAGUGGUGUUGUAGAUCCAAAUCUUGAGGUAAUUGGAAGACAAAUUGUUAGCAAGUGUAAAGGCCUUCCUUUAGCUGCAAAAUCUCUCGGUGGUCUCUUACGCUCUGAAUCAAAAGUGGAGGAGUGGGAAAAUGUGCUAAAAAGUGACAUAUGGGAGUUGUCAUAUGCAAAGAUUGACAUUCUGCCGGCUCUAUGGCUAAGCUACCAGUACUUGUCUCCGGAGCUGAAGCGUUGUUUUGCUUAUUGUUCCAUAUUUCCCAAAGACUAUAAAUUUAACAAAUCUGAAUUAAUUUUGUUGUGGAUGGCCGAAGAUCUUUUACAACCCCAAAAGAAGACUAUGUUGGAAGAUGUUGGAAAGAAAUACUUUGAUGAUCUGAUCUCACGGUCAUUUUUUCAAUACUCAUCUUCAAAUGAUUGUUUCAUCAUGCAUGAUCUGAUGCAUGAUUUGGCGACUUACGUAUCUGGAGAAUUUUGCAUUAGAUUGGAAGACCACAACUUCUCAUUGGACGUUGUGAGCAAGGGGUCGUCAUUUUUUUUCUUAUUUGCAAUAUUCAUCUAAUGUUGAUUAUAAGAGAUUUGGCACUAUUUAUGAAGCUAAGUAUCUGCGCACCUUCAUUCUUGGCGAUCUCUAUUUGCCGACAGUACGACUUGAUCUCCUUUUAAUGCUACAGUGUUUAAGAGUCAGUUUCAAAACUACGUGUGCAUGAUAUCACGGAGUUGCCUGAUUUGAUUAGCAACUUGAAGCAUCUACGGUACCGAUCAUUGUACCAACUUGUGUGACCGGACACGUGUAACACUCCAAUCCCAGAAAUUACACGAACACGGUAUGCAGGUUUGUUUGUAUAAUUUACAAACAUUGUUGUUGUUGUCAAAAUUGUACAUGUCUAGCUGAGUUGCCCACCGAUUUGAGAAGACUUAUCAACUUGCGCCAUCUUGCUUGAUUUCAGAGGUACGAAAAUAAAAAAGAUGCCCCCCCACAUGGGCAAGUGGGCAAGUUGAAAGAUCUCCAAACAUUCGGAGGUGAGUUUGUCUUGCUUGAGCAAAGAUGCUGGGGGAUACAUUGAUGAGUUAAAGGGGUUUCAGCAUUUGAGUGGAAAUCUUCAUAUUUCAGGGCUUCAAAAUAUCAAACAUGCUGAGGAUGCUUUGGAGGCCAAACUGAGGGACAAGAAGCUCAGUGAAAUACAUUUGAAAUGGGAAGGUGACACUGCUGAUUCUCAAAACGAUAGCCGAGUGCUGGGCAACCUGCAGCCCAAUACAAACCUAAAGGUACUGGCUAUAAAGGGAUACGGAGGUAUAAAGUUUCCAGGUUGGUUAGGAGAUGAGUCUUUCUCUAAUCUCAUCACUCUCCGACUUGAGAAUUGUGGAUAUUGUUUCUCCCUGCCAGCAUUGGGGCGGCUAACGUCCCUCAAAAGGCUUGAAAUUGAUGGGUUGAAUGGAGUGGAAUUAGUGGGGUCUGAGUUUUAUGGGCCUGCAUUUAAAUCUCUGGAGUUUCUGAGUUUCCGCAGUAUGCGGGAAUGGCAAGAGUGGUGUUUCCCUGGAGGUGAAGAAGAAGAAGGCGGACAUUUUCCUAAUCUUUGCGAGCUUAGUCUGGAGAACUGUCCCAAACUAACGGGGAAAUUACCGUUAUACUACUUCCCAAGACUUGAGCGGCUAAUUUUGCAGAAAGUUAAUAUCGAAUCCCUUGCUUGUUCGCAAGAAUGCAAUAAAUUCAAUAUUGAACUCCCAUCCCUCCGUGACUUGGGAAUAUCAGAUUGCCCGAAUCUGGUAUGUUUUGUGGGUGGUGGAGUGCUGCUUGCGCCCAACUUGAAGAGGAUAUCUAUGUGCCGUUUUAAAAACUUGUGGUCAGUGCCAGAGGAGAUGCACGCCUCUCUCCCGUCUCUUCAGUCUCUGUCCAUGGAAGAGUGUGAAGAAUUUAAAUCAUUUCCUGAAGAAUCUAAAUUCCCAUCCCUCUAUUAUUUGAAGAUAAAGGAGUGCCCAGAAUUUGUGGGUUUCCCCCAUGGAGGACUGCAAGCGCCCAACUUGAAGAUGAUGAAAAUCUAUGAAUGUAACAAAUUCGGGUCAGUGCCAGAGGAGAUGCACGCCUCUCUCCCGUCUCUUCAGUCUCUGUUCAUAGAAGGGUGUAAAGAAUUUAAAUCAUUUCUGGAAGAAUCUAAAUUCCCAUCGCUUGAUGAUUUGAGGAUAUACAAAUGCCCAGAAUUUGUGGGUUUCCUCUAUGGAGGAGGACUGCAAGCGCCCAACUUGAAGAGGAUGGAAAUCAAAGAAUGCAAUGAAUUCAGGUCACUGCCAGAGGAGAUGCACGCCUCUCUCCCGUCUCUUCAGUCUCUGUCCAUACUAGGGAGUAAAGAAUUUAAAUCAUUUCCGGAAGAAUCUAAAUUCCCAUCCCUCAAUAAUUUGUAUAUAAUGAAUUGCCCAGAAUUCAGGUCACUACCAGAGGAGAUGCACGCCUCUCUCCCAUCUCUUCAGUCUCUGUCCAUAGAAGGGUGUAAAGAAUUUAAAUUCCCAUCCCUUAAUCAUUUGUGUAUAAUGAAUUGCCCAGAAUUCAGGUCACUGCCAGAGGAGAUGCACGCCUGUCUGUCUCCCUUCUCUUCAGUCUCUGUACAUACAAGGGAGUAAAGAAUUUAAAUCAUUUCCGGAAGAAUCUAAAUUCCCAUCUCUCUCGUAUUUGAAUAUAUGGUAUUGUCCAGAAUUGGAAUCAUUUCCGGAAGGGGGAUUGCCGUCCAAAUUGCUUUCACUCAGAAUCGGGAGUUGUAAAAAACUGAUGGCAAACCGUAUGCGGUGGGGUCUACAAACACUCACCUCUCUCGAAAGAUUGGAUGUCAGCUUCUCAGAAUGUGAAGAAGAAGAAAUUGGCGAAUCAUUUCCAGAAGAGGGGCAGCUGCCAACCACUCUCACUUCUCUCGGAAUCUUCCAGCAUCCGAAUCUGAAAACAAUUGACGGCAAGGCGUUAAGACACCUCAUCUCUCUCAAGGAGUUGAACAUUUUUUUUUGUCCUCGACUCCAGAGCUUGCCAGAUGAAGGGCUACCCACUUCUCUUUCUGGUCUAGAAAUCCGCGAGUGUGAUUUGCUAACACAACGGUGCCGGAGAGACACGGGAGAAGAUUGGGCCAAGAUUUCUCACAUCCCCAAGGUAGUGAUUGAUAACCGAAAGAUAUGAUUUGCAAUGGUACGUAAUUCAUCAACGUGUGUUUAUGUGUUUAUUUACGAUAUGGCUGUGUAAAUUUUAAAUCAUAAACAUGUUUCAAAUGUUAAUGUUCACAUAAUAACAAAUUUUACAGGUACUCUUGUCCCAUAUAAACUUGAAAGUAUUUGCGAUAGAAAGAUACGGAGCUACAAAAAUUCCAAAUCGGUUAGGAGAUGACUUGUUCGUUCUCUCAUCUUGUUACUCUUCGACUUGUGGAUUGUGAACAUUGUUUUUCAAUGCCAGCAUUGGCACAGCUACCAUCUCUCAGAAGGCUUGACACUGAUGGGUUAAAUGGAGUGGAAUUGUUCCUCUUUUCUUAUUGUGUCUUACGGUGGUUCUAUUAUACGACAGUUUGUUGUAUCGAACUAGUCUUCGGUGAAAAAGGAGCUUCAACAAGUCUAUGAGCUCUAGUUUUCGAAUUUCCUUUUUCAAGUUUGUUUCCAAAUUAUGUCUAUUGAGAGGUAGAUUUUGGUACUUUGUAGAAUUCGAAUUCAAAUGUUUGGUUUGUAAAAUAUGGAUGAUGAUUUCAUUUCUGUGGAACUGUGAAUCUAUGAUCAUGCUUGAAUGUUGUCAGACCAUUAUCUAUUCUAAAAUUGAGGAGGGAUUUGACUGUAGCUUAGCUACAGUCAAAUGAUUGACCCUCGAUUUUGCUUUAUUUACAUCACUACCAUUAUAUCUCUGGCUGGGUUGGAAGGGUAAUUAUUACAACUUAGAAGGGUAAUUUUGUCCGUGGGUUUGAACCGAAUUUCACUUUUAUUUACAAAAUUGCCACCGCCUUUUCCUUCCCUCUUUCUCUCUCCCGACUCUCUCUCGGUAACCAUCCAUCAAAUCCCCAUCCUUCCCUUUUCUCACUCUGUAAGUCUCAUUUCCUACAACCCUAGAGCACCGUUUCUCUCUCAUUUCUCUCAAAUUUGACUCAGGGAGAGAGAGGGAAGGGGGACAGAAGGGUUGACAGGUUGGAGGGAGAGGAUCGUCGGGAUUAGGGGAGAGGAUUUUCGGCAGGGAGGUAUGGGUUUAGGGAGAGAGAGAGUAAGGGAGAAGUAUGGGGUAGGCGGAUUUCCAGGGAUUUCUUUUCACCCCUUCACUCACCACGAACCCACCUUUCCCUUCUUUUCUUCCGUCCUCAAAUCUUCUGAUUUCCCUCUCACAAAAUACCCACCAAGGAAACCCUACUUUUGGUUUAUUUUGGGAUUUUGUUUGCGCUCUCGAUUUUCAGACGACGGGCCAAUUGGUUGAUAUUUGGAUUUCUUCUCCUUUUGUCGAAACGCACAAAUUUUGUUUCGGUGGGAUUGGUCUCGAAUAGCUGCGUGUGUCUACCUUUCCAAGGUAUGGUGUUCACCGAUGGCAUGUUUUAGUGUGUUUCUGUUUUUUUUUUCUUUGUUUUGUAUUUCUAAUUUAUCGUUUGCUGCUUGACAAUGGUGAUUGUAUGUUUUAGUUUGGAUGUUUUUCUGAUUUUGGUUUGGUCAGUUUUUUUGGGCUGCUUGAGAAAAUGUGAUCCCAUGUUUUGACUGAGUGAAAUAAUUAAUAGAUAAAAAGAGUGGAGAAUUAGUGUCAAGAGUAGUGAUGGAAAAAAUGAGGAAAAAAAUAUAGAUGUGGAAGAAAAAGGGGGGGGGGCUGGAAAUCGAGCAAGGUGAAGAGAAAAAAAAUAGGGGUUAAGUGAGCAGCCAAAAGAGAAAAAAAAUGAGGGGAAAAGGCUUAAUUUGGGGAGUGGGCAAAAGAGAAAAGCAAGGGAAGGGAGACAGAACAGGAACAAGGUGUGGUUUUGUUGUUGGUUUUAUCCAAAUUUUUGAUUUGGCAUUGGUUUGAAGCUUAUGUGUUAUUAGUAUAGUCUAAUUUAGUGUUGGUUUAUCUAGGUUUGUAGCUAAUUUAAUGUUAAUGUUGAUCUAGGCGUUUUAAUUUGUUGUGAACUUAUAUGAGUUUCGUUUUUUAAUUGUUAUUUUACAGUUGCUAGGGAUGACUUUGGCUUUUAUAUUGGUUUGGGUAUUUUUUUUUUUCAUUUGAAGAUUUAGUGUCAUUAUACACCUUUGCACCACUGUUUGUUCUGUUUUUCUCGGUUUCUGUAUAUAGUUUUGGUACAAUUGGACUGUUCUUUUUAACUUAAUUAAAGUUUUUGAGACUUAAUUGAAUGAAAGUUUAGUGUGUGUUUUGGACUAAUGGUUUUGUGUUGUUAUGUGGGUUUGUGAAGAUGGAUGGAUGUGUGGCUCGGUUGCAGGAGCUGCAGUACACAGUUUCGGGCGGUACGAAGGUGAUCUCAGGAGUGAGUCUCAGCCCUGGGAGUUCUAGAGGUUAUCUCAGGGCUAGCCUCCGAUGCAAACAAGAAACUGCAAGGUAAUUGAGAAUCUGAUUUUAAUUUGAUUUGUACAAACCAGGAACAAAAAAUCCCAGCUUUUGCUUGAAUUUGAAGUUUUUGAUUUUGAUAUUGGAACUGAAAUGGGUCUUUUGAUUUAUGCAGGAUUAAAGGCUCAGCCCCUAGAAAAUCUCCUGUUGGCAAGUUUCCAGCAAAGGCAGGAGGUAUCUCCCUCUCUCUCUCUCUCUCCCUAAAAUCAUAGACGUAUGGCCAAAUGUGUUUUUUGACAAGAAAGUUUAUCCUUCACUUUUUUUCAAAGAACAAAAUUGAGUUUAGAUUCAAAAUCUGAACCUUUUGUUUUUGAAAAUACGACAUUCUAAACAACAGAAGCUCAUUACUUUUUGUUUUUUAAUAAAGCCAUUACCAGUUUCUGAAUUGAUUCUACAUUUUACUCUGUUUUUAUGCCUAAUACCGUUUGUUUUCCAUUGGGUAGCUGUAUAAGUUUUCCAUAAGCUUCGAUCAUCUCCCCAAUAAACCCAGAGCCUCCUUCUCUCCCGCUAAGCAAAAGAAAAUCAAGGAGGCCUGCAACUUCGUUUGCAGUCCGCCACUGCAAAUCAGUCUGGAAACUGGAUUCAAAGGUAAAACACACCGAUGUCUUUGAUUUUGGUCUCUACUGCACAGUUUGACAGACAAAUGAUAAACCUAACACAUGCAUGCUUUGAUUUCCUUGGUAGGUCAUAUUUUUCACUUUCUGGAUGUGCAAAGUCUGGAUAGUACACAUCACCGGACCAAACCUUUAUCAGGUAAGGAAUUCCAUCGCGUUUGUUGAAAAUAUUUGCUUCCUUUCCUCUCAUGUAUGUGUAUGUAUGAUUGUAUGUGUGUGAUUUUAGAUUGUAAUGCAUCACAAAUUUGUGGCAUAAAAAUUGACAUUUGUAGACUUACCCUUUGUUUGGUGACUGUGAUAAUUGAGAGAAAGGAAAAUAAAAUUUCGAAGAUUGAUGCUUUUAUGUGAUUUCUUGGCUCUUUUUUUCAUAUGAUUUUCAUUGUAUGUGUGCCAGUGUAUGUCUCUUCUUGAAAAAUACAUGUUGAAAAUGGGAGAAAAUUUUGGACAUGACACGUUUAGAAGUGAGGUUUUUCUGAAUGAAGACACUUUUAUGAUUUGUUUGUAAUUUGUUUUGCAAAUGGGUAGGAAUGUCAUUCUAAAAGGAUAUUGGCAGGAGAGGGUGGAAUGUCAUUCUAAAAUAUGUGUAAUUCAAUUCUCUCAUUUUCUAUAGCAGAAUUGCGGAUUUCUAAAUCGAAAAGGAGAAAUAAACACUACAGCAGUUUAUGCAGAAGGAGCAUGUAAAAGAGAAGCACAGGUAAAGGUUUAUGAGGUCAGUUUGCUGUUUUCUUUUUAGUGUUUUCAAUUUGUUCCUUUUAGUCUGGCUGCAAUUUUUUAAUCUCUGGUUAUGCAUCAAUUUCUCUGCUUCUUUGUAAAUCUUGCAGGUGAGGACAACACACUUAUCGGGGCAAUGUCGGGAUGUUUAGGCUUGGGUGGAGACAUGGACUUAUGGAAGAGGUGAAGUAGCUUAGGUUUCUGUCAUUAGCUUUAUCUGUUCUAUGCAUCUCUGCAAUCUUACAAUGCUCCUUUAUUUAAUUGCAAGAUGUUGGGGACCGGUUACUGGAAUACAAGAUUUGGAACAAAAGUGGUUGACAAUGCAAGAGUCGAAAGCAAGUGUGAAAUUCACAUUGAAAAUGACAGGUGAGAAUGCUAAUCAUAUUCUAAAAAAAUGUUGGGUUUCCUGAUGAGUUCUCUAGCUGAAUUCAAGAGGCUAAAUUAGUGAUUUGGAGUUAAUUUUGUAAAUUUAUUGAAUAAAGUUAUUUGUUAUUUAGCUUAUCUUGCGUUUGGUUUGGUUUUAGGAGAGGGUUACGCAUGAUCCGUAGCUUCAUUCAACCUCGCUGUUUUCGUUAGAAUCACAAUUAAAGGUCAGUUUUUCCAACAUUUUUUUUGCUUUUUGCUGCAUGUUUGUGCAUGUUUGGUCUCUGAGAUUUUGUUUUUAGUCACUGUUGAUUUGUAGUUUAUGUCUUCCUUUAGCUACAUAUUGACACAUGUUUAUUCUCAGCAUUUUUUUGUUAUGGUAAGUGGUUUGGGGAGUUCUGUAUUAUUAUAUAAUCUUUGGGGCUAUUUUAAGUAAAAAUGAAAUGUUGACAUUGAUAUAGCAUACGGCACACUUAAUUCACACUCCUAUAUUCGGUUUUCAUGUUUCCAUUGCAACACUCUGCAUUUCCGAGCCAAUGAAUUUUUUGAUAAAGAUGUACUUAAAGCAAUUACAUGCUCUAUCAAGUAUGUUUUAUAUGUGGUUGUGGUAGUUGCAAGGAAAUGAAAUAUUUGUGCUGAUAAUUGGUAGUUUAAAUAUAUAGAAAUAGAGAAGAAUUAUAAAUGGAGCACCUAGGAUAUUUAACAUUGUUUUCUUUUCCAUGUAUUUUUUCUCAUGUUUAAUAUCUGCUUUUGCUUAUGCAUAUGAUUCAAGUGCUAUUUUUAUUAGUGUUAAUUUUGGGUUGCAUAUCAACAAACUAACCCAGUUAAUUUUGCUUAGUGUUCAUGUAUAACGAGAACUCUCAUUGCAUCAACUUGAACAAACAUUCUUCUACUUAGUUGCUUAGCUGCUGCAACAAGAACGAAACACUUUUUAUGUGUUUUUGUUUAACUGCUAAAACAGGUGAUUGGCCUCCAGGACAUAUAUUUUGCCAUCUUAACUUUAAAGGCAAUACAUAUGUAAAAUGCAUGUUGCUUAGGGAAACAGAGCAUUUUUUGCAACCACAUCUUUUGUAAUCAGCUUAGUUGAAUGUAUAUAAAAGUUAAGCUACUUAUCUUACCUACACCGAUCACUCAUCUAUCAUUUUUGUUCGUUCAUGAUUAUGUUGAAUUUUUUUUCAGGUUAAAUGUGUCUUAUUCAUGUAGUUAAGGAUGGUGCAUUCAAGUCCCGCAGCAACGCGCGGGCAUUUUUCUAGUAGUAUCGAAAACCCUCUGUUGUUUACCAAUCGAUCUCAAGCGGUCUAGAUUCGAUUUGUUUAAUUAGUACUGCAAGAUGAUCUUAUCUACUAAUCAUGUCUUAUCAAAUGAUUACCAUUUCAUCAUGCCCUUAGGGAUGCAUAGAGCUUCAAAAGUUUUCAAGUUGCUGCGCAUGUGUAGGUUUGAAGUCGUGCAAUGAUAUGUACGCGAAACUUAUGAGCAAACAAAAGCAAACAACUCUUAUACAUAAAUGUCGGCUGCCAGAAAAUCUCAGUAGUACCAGAGAAGAUAAGCUUGUAAUAAAUUUCUAAUUCUCAAAACAGAGCAAACAAGAGAAACAAGAUCUACAUAUAAGUACCCCUAGUUGGCCGGCACACAGGAUUUCUUUUACGAGCAUGUUCUUCAUUAUGGUGCUGUGUCCGACAUGCAUAUCCAUACCAGCAAUUUUCCCUGUUUGAUGCCUCUGUGGGUAGAUGAUAUUUGGGAAUCGAAAUCCGAAACCAGUACAAGAGGAAGGAGAUCAGCUUCUCAUAACAGUAAUUGCACGUAGGUGUCCCAGAAGUUAUUGCCUCAGCAUGAUUCAGGGGCAUCCUCGUUCGAUCAAUUUCUCUGUUGUUCAACUUUGCAAGCCAUUCUGCAAUAACAUCCUGUGAUGUUCUCCCCAACUGUACAGUACACUUCUCAGUGAUCACUUGUUCAUGUCGAUUGUUUUCAUGAGUUGAAGUAGGGAUUCCAGAGAUGGUCCAUUCUGAGAUUGGUUUAAAAGUCUCGCGACUGCACACAUGGUGAGAAUCACUUUGUGAAACCCCUUGCGCAUGCCAAUAUAAACUGCAAAAUGCCUUAUCACAUCCUAAACAGUGUUGAGGUACACUUAUUGGUGCACGAAGGCAUCAUUCCUCCGCAUGCUUGACAUUGCAGAUGGAUAGUGGUUUGAUUGCAGCGGAACGCACCAUAUUCAGUACCACAUUGAGGGCAUGGAUUUGAUGGAUUAUGAGCUUCUUCAUCCACCUGGGAGCGAGCCCUUUUUCUGCGAAGAUGUUUUCCAGAGUUUACGACAAUAUUAGAUUGUAUUGUUGCAUAAGAGUCUAAAAUUGCCACUUCAUCAUUGGUGCGUUUUAGUGAAUAGAAGAGAACAAGAUCUCUGAGCAAACUACAAUCUCAUAUGAAAUAAUUUCAACAUCCGGAUAUCUCAAGUCUGAUGGAACGAGCUUGGCCCAGAAUUCUUCACAGGGUUUUGCACCCGAGCUCUCUCCAACUUCUGCCAUCCCUUGAAUAUAUUCACAAAGGACCCAGAAACCAUUAAUUUAGAUCUCAAAGAUAAGUAACCGGCCAUUGUUAUGUUCAUUUAAAAAGAAACAAGUACUUAUAUAUUCAACUAUUUAUGAGCAACAGAGCAAUUUUAAUUUCUAAUUAUCGAACAAAAUCUUUACCGCUAAUUAGAUAAUUCAUCCAAGUACGAAAAGAAAACAGAUUUGCACUCAAACAAGACAGAUUCAUGAAAUAUGCUAUGGUAACGCCCCUAACAUUUCAACACCGAUAAACAUAUCAACUUCAUGUUUCAGACAUCCUACAACUACAUAUAUUAGAUCGUAACAAUUCCAACUAAAUGUAAAAGCUCUUAAAGACCUAGUUUGGGAGUGAGGUGCUUAAAAAAAAAACACCUAUGAAAAAAAGCUGUGAGGGUUUUAGGUGUUUGGUAAACUGAAAAAAAAGGGCUUAUUUUGGAAGCUGCUGUGAGAAUAAGCUGAAAUCAAAGGAAAAAGCUGAAGUUGCUAUUUGCAGCUUUGGAAAACUGGCUUUUUUUCAAAGCACACGGAGCUACAAUGCUCCUUUAAUGAAAAGACCCACUAUCAGACUGAUUUUCUUUCCAAAAGCACUUUUACAAAAAAGUUUACCAAACGCUCUGUUGAUUUAUUUCACAGCCGCUUAUUCUCACAGCACAGCCGCUUAUUCUCACAGCAGUUUUUUUUCAAAGCACAGCAAUACCAAACCACUCAAAGCAUAACGACAUACUAGCAAAAUUCAUGGAAGAUAGUAAGUGCCAAUUAACAAGAGAGUCAAAAAGGCUUGAGGAGAAGGGGUCCCCAGCAGCGGCAUCAUUUCUGGCCGGAAAAGGUUCAUUCUAGUAAUAUAAUUUAUACCACAGAACACAUACAAACAGAUUUAAGGAGACACAAUUGUCAUUCUAAAAGAGACACUUUCUCAAUUCUUGAAUUAAAACCUGGACUCCAAGAUUGCAAAACCACAGAAUGUGGUCCCCUUUACAAAAAUGUAUAUCAUGUUUACUCUAUGUUCAUAGUUUGAACCUUCGUUUAUGCAAUCUCGCUCUUGUUUUUGUUCUCUUGUAUGACCUAAUUUUCACACAAUUCUCACCGGAAAACCAAUAGAAAUAUUUAUGAAAAUUGAUAGGUCUCACUUGGAAAUUGUUUCAAAAACCCUAACAACAAAAAUGAAAAGUUUGCAACUUUGGCCAAUAAACAAUCAAACGUGAAAAGAAUUUGAAACUUAUCUAUUUCUAAACACGUUUAUAACAUCUUAAGAGACGCGCAAUGUUGGUGAUAAAAAAGAUCAUUCACAUGCGGAUAAUAAUGUGAUUAAAUUAAUUGUCAAAUGACUGUUUUUUUUAAACGAUAUUAUCGAUACUAAGGGGGAGAGGUGUGUUUAGCCUCACAAUGGGCUAGCAACAAUGUGAUUCAAUCAGUUGUUUAUUAAAUAUUAUUUUAUCUAUUUUAAACACGUUCAAAAUAUCUUAAGAGGCAUGUAAUGCUGGUUAUAAAAAAAGUAUUUCGCACGAGGAUAAUAAUGUGAUUAAAUUAGUUGUUAAAUGAUUUUUUUUAACAAACGAUAUUAUUUACACUAAUGGAGAGGGGUGGGCUUAGUCUCACAAUGAGCUAGCAAUAAUGUGAUUCAAUCAAUUAUUUAUUAAAUAUUAUUUUCUCUAUUCUUAAUGUAAAUUCUAUAGAGACCGAUUUUAUUAUGUGAAUUCAGCUGGUUUAAUUGGUUUAUGAAGGGUUUCUUCUAGCAUGAUCUAAGAUUAUUCAUUUACUUCAAAUAUUUAACUUUCAUUUUGUCAAUUUACACACAAUAUAUACAUUUAAAAAACGUGUAAGUCGUGUAUAGCACGUCGUGAUUCAAAAAAUAUCCUCUGCACGUGCGUAAGCAUAUGCACGGAGGCUAGUAUAUACUAAAGUGGAAUGAGAAAAACAUUGUUCAUAAGAAACAAUGUUUUGACGUUUUUGCCCUCAUUUUUAGUGUUUCUGUGUUCCUAGUUUUUGUGCUGUUGAAAUCCCCACAUUACCAUAUAGGCAUACGUGUGUACGGAAAAAUGUUUUUCACGCGUGGCAUAAGGAAAUUUUCUCUGCAGCACCGUGUUAUUCCCCUGGGAGUCUGCAGCACCGCUCAACCAAAUUUUCUCUCAUUCCGUACUUCUCCACCUCUUCAAUCGUGCUGCACCGUGAAUCGAAACAAAAAACUGCUCUUCCAAAUCAAUUUCAGUUAACUCAAAUCCCUAAAACCCAAAUUUCUCCAGACCAUUGGAAUCAGUUUGCCUUUGUUGUUGCUAAUCUACAGGUAAAGCUUAAAUUUACAUACAAUUUUUAAUUUUUCUUGAUUGGAAUUUGGAAAGAAUUACAGAAAAUUGGCGAUGUCCACCGAGUCGGAUGCGUGGUGGAGACUCGGAUGCUCGCUUCCCUGACGUCACUACGCAUCGAUAAACGCACAUCAUUUCCGACUACGUCACUUCUUUCUCUCGCCUCCUUUUCAUGGUUAGCUCCUCCUCCGUAUUUACUCAACGCCUAAUUUUGGCCUUUUUUUCUUCCUUCACUGAUUUGUUCUAGAGAUCGCAGAUUGUUGAGUCAGAGAAGAGGUACAUUUCCAUUUGGGGUUUUUUCCCAAUUGAUUGAUGCUGUAUUAAUUUGGAAUUUGCCCAAUUGGGGUUUGAGAUUUUUGGUUUAUAUGGUUGUUUUGAACUUUUGAGAAAACCCUUAUUUGUUUUAUUUUUUAAGAAAAUUAAUGAAAAUGAUUUGAAAUCUUUGAAUUUUAGAAUAAGAACAAAAUAAAGGGUAAAGGGAACAAUAGCAAGAUUGACUUUUUAGUGUAAAAAUGUAAUUUUUCGUUAAAGUGAACAAUAUCGAGUAUUUUUUGUUCUUUAAGAGGGGAAUAAUGAUAUGAUCUGUAAUUAGUGAUUAGCUUAAUCACUUAUUCUUGGGAUUAUUAGGCUUAUUCAUGUUUUAGUGGAGUUUGUUAUAACUGCUAGCUGGCAUGAGGAGUCAUGACUGGUAUAAGAGCACUAGUUCUGAGUAUUGUAAUCAGAUCAGAAUUUACAACAAAGAAAAUAAAUACAAAAAUAUUUGGAGCUCUGCUCCUUCAUCUCUCCUUCCCUCUUCUUCCAUAGCUUUCUUGUGCUACUUGCAGGUUGAUUAAGGGAAUUGAGAAUUGGGUCUUAUCAUAGUGGAUCUUGACGAGCGGGCGGGCGGGCGGGCGAGCGAGCCAAGACUUAGUGGUUUAAGCUGGAGAGGUUUAUUUGGAAGAACCAAAGCCGUUUGAGCCGAUGCUGUAGCAGAUUGAACCGGUUCUACGCAGACCUCGCCAAAUCUCAGCCAUCAGAUUGCUGUCCGGACGAUCGCACACUUUGUCCGCAACUUAGACACGCCCUUGCAGUUAUAGCACCAAGGUGGGCCUGGGAGCAAACGGCUGAGAAGAAUUGAACAGAAAUUGGGCCAAACAGGAGCAAAGCGCUGCGCCAGUUGCUGUGGAAGGGAAUGUUGCUGAUGAUGCUGGACUGGGCCCGCAUAAUUCAAGGGCUGCGCUAGAUGCUCAAGCUGCUCGGCAGAGGGAUGCCAGGUUCCACGACCAACACCGCGUGAAUUAUUGUUAAAAUUUCCAUUUGCAAAGAAAAGAUUGAUCAUGGCGUUGAAGAUUUUUGCUUCUGCAGAUCCUCCUGGGUCUUUGAUUAGUUGUUAUACAUUCUCUUAACUCUGUCACAAAAUUUCCAUUUGCAAAGAAAAGAUUGAUCAUGGCGUUGACGGUGGUAGGUGGGGCCGCUCUCUCGGGUUUCUUCCAGCAAGUAUUUGUGAAGUUGGAUUCUCAGGAGGUCAGGAACUUCAUCAGAGGAAAGAAACUGACUGAUGGGUUGCUCAAGAAGUUGAGGAUCAAGUUGAUGUCUGUCAGUGCUGUUUAUGAUGAUGCCGAGCAAAAGCAAUUACGUAACCCACAUGUGAGGCUGUGGCUGCACGAGCUUAAAGAGGCCGUCCUUGAUGCUGAGGACCUACUGGACGAGAUCAAGACAGAAGCGUUGAGGCGGAAAAUUGAAGCUGAAUUUGGAAGUAGCACAAGCAAGGUACAAGACCUCAUCUCUGCUUCUUUCCAUGCUUUUGAUGAGUCUGUAGACACCAAGAUAGAGGAAAUUCUUGAGAGGCUAAGCUUCAUUGUAGAACAAAGAGAUGCCCUUGAUUUGAAAAGAGGUAGUAGACACAAAAUCUCACAAACAUUGCUUUCAACUUCUUUAGUAGAAGGCUCUGAUGUGUAUGGAAGAGAUCGUGAGAAGGAAACCAUCAUUCAACUAUUGUUAUCAAAUGAUGUCACUUGUAGUAAGAUUGGCAUUAUUCCCAUUGUGGGCAUGGGUGGGAUCGGAAAGACCACCCUUGCUCAGCUCUUAUACAAUGAUGAUAGAGUGCAGCAGCAUUUUGAGCUCCAGGCAUGGGUUUGUGUUUCUGAUGAAUUUGACGUUGUUAAGAUCACACAAACAAUUUAUGCAUCAGUCACUUCACGAACCUGUGAUGACCUAAACCAGCUUCAGGUCAAACUCAAAGAUGCUUUGGCGGGGAAGAAGUUUCUUUUUGUUCUUGAUGACGUUUGGAAUGAGAAUUACAAUAUUUGGGAAUCCUUAAGGCGCCCCUUCGAGUCUGGAGCUCAUGGAAGUAAGAUCAUUGUCACCGCAAGGAAUGGUGGUGUUGCAUCUACGAUGGGUACUCUUCAAACCCACUAUUUAAAGCACUUACUUGAGGAAGACUGUUGGUCUUUAUUUGCAAACCAUGCCUUCAAAGAUGCAAGUGUUAUUGUAGAUCCAAAUCUGGAGGUAAUUGGAAGACAAAUUGUGAGCAAGUGUAAAGGCCUUCCUUUAGCUGCAAAAUCGCUCAGUGGUCUCUUACGCUCUGAAUCAAAUGUGGAGGAAUGGGAAAAUGUGCUCAAAAGUGACAUAUGGGAGUUGUCAGAUGCAAAGAUUGACAUUUUGCCGGCUCUAUGGCUAAGCUACCAGUACUUGUCUCCGGAGCUAAAGCGUUGUUUUGCUUAUUGUUCGACAUUUCCCAAAGAUUAUUUAUUUGACAAGUCUAAAUUAAUUUUGUUGUGGAUGGCCGAAGAUCUUAUACAACCCCAAAAGAAGACUAGGUUGGAAGAUGUUGGAAAGAAAUACUUUGAUGAUCUAAUCUCACGGUCAUUUUUUCAAUACUCGUCUUCAAAUGAUUGUUUCAUCAUGCAUGAUCUGAUGCAUGAUUUGGCGACUUACGUAUCUGGAGAAUUUUGCAUUAGAUUGGAAGACCACAACUUCUCAUUGGACGUUGUGAGCAAGGGUCGUCAUUUUUCUUAUAUGCAAUAUUCAUCUAAUGUUGAUUAUGAGAGAUUUGACACUAUUUAUGAAGCUAAGUAUCUGCGCACCUUCAUUCUUGGCAAUCACUUUCCAUCGCCGAAAGUACGACUUGAUCUCCUUUUAGUGCUACAUUGUUUAAGAGUUCUCAAACUACGUGGGCAUGAUAUCACGGAGUUGCCUGAUUCGAUUAGCAACUUGAAGCAUCUACGGUACCUUGACUUGUGGUUCACUCCAAUCCAGAAAUUACCUGACACCGUAUGCAGUUUGUAUAAUUUACAAACGUUGUUGUUGUCAAAUUGUAUAUAUCUAGCUGAGUUGCCCACCGAUUUGAGAAGACUUAUCAACUUGCGCCAUCUUGAUUUCAGAGGUACAAAAUUAAAAAUGAUGCCCCCCCACAUGGGCAAGUUGAAAGAUCUCCAAACAUUUGAAGGUGAGUUUGUCUUGAGCAAAGAUGCCGGGGGAAACAUUGAUGAGUUAAAGGGGUUUCAGCAUUUGAGUGGAAAUCUUCAUGUGUCAGGGCUUCAAAAUAUCAAACGUGCUGAGGAUGCUUUGGAGGCCAAACUGAGGGACAAGAAGCUUAGUGACAUACGUUUGAAAUGGGAAGGUGACACUAUCGAUUCUGAAAACGAUAGCCGAGUGCUGGGCAACCUGCACCCCAAUACAAACCUAAAAGUACUGGUUAUAGAAGGAUACGGAGGUACAAAGUUUCCAGGUUGGUUAGGAGAUGAGUCUUUCUCUAACCUCGUCACUAUCCGACUUGAGACUUGUGGAUAUUGUUUCUCCUUGCCAGCAUUGGGGCAGUUACCCUCCCUCAAAAGGCUUGAAAUUUAUGGGUUAAAUGGAGUGGAAUCAGUGGGGUCUGAGUUUUAUGGGGGAAUUAAACCUGCAUUUAAAUCUCUAGAGUUUCUGAGUUUCUGCAGUAUGCGGGAAUGGCAAGAGUGGUGUUUCCCUGGAGGUGAAGAAGAAGAAGGCGGACAUUUUCCUAAUCUUUGCGAGCUUAGUCUGGAGAACUGUCCCAAACUAACGGGGAAAAUACCGUUAUACUACUUCCCAAGACUUGAGCGGCGUACGUUUGGAGGAAGUUAAUAUCGAAUCCCUUGCUUGUUCGCAAGAAUGCAAUAAAUUCAAUAUUGAACUCCCAUCCCUCCGUGAGUUGAAAAUAUCAGAUUGCCCGAAUCUGGUAUGUUUUGUGGGUGGUGGAGUGCUGCUUGCGCCCAACUUGGAGGAGAUAACUAUUUGCCAUUUUAAGAACUUGUGGUCAGUGCCCGAAGAUAUGCAAAUCUCGCUCCCAUCUCUUCCGUCUCUGUCCAUACAAGGGUGUAAAGAAUUUAAAUCAUUUCCGGAAGAAUCUAAAUUCCCAUCCCUCGUUGUUUUGAAGAUACAGGGAUGCCCAGAAUUUGUGGGUUUCCCCCAUGGAGGAGGACUGCAAGCGCCCAACUUGAAGGAGAUGGAAAUCAAAGAAUGUAACAAAUUCAGGUCACUGCCAGAGGAGAUGCAAAUCUCUCUCCCAUCUCUCGAGUCUCUGUGUAUAAGGGAUUGUCCAGAAUUGGAAUCAUUUUCGGAAGGGGGAUUGCCGUCUAAAUUGCGUUUUCUCAGUAUCUGGAGUUGUAAAGAACUGAUGGCAAACCGUAUGCGGUGGGGUCUACAAACACUCACCUCUCUCAAAUACUUGGAUGUCAGCUUCAGAGGAUGUGAAGAUGAAGAAAUUGGCGAAUCAUUUCCAGAAGAGGGGCUGCUGCCAACCACUCUCACUUCUCUCGGAAUCUACAAUCAUCCGAAUCUGAAAACCAUUGACGGCAAGGCGUUAAGACACCUCAUCUCUCUCGAGAAGUUGGAGAUUUAUUAUUGUCCUCAACUCCAGAGCUUGCCAGAUGAAGGGCUACCCACUUCUCUUUCUCGUCUAGAUAUCUUCCCAGUGUGAUUGCUAAAACAACGGUGCCAGAGAGACACGGAAGAAGAUUGGGCCAAGAUUUCUACAUUCCCAACAUAACGAUUUCUGGCCGAAAGAUAUGAUUUGCAAUGGUACGUAAUUCGUCAACGUGCGUUUAUGUGUUUAUUUACGAUCUGGCUGUGAAAAAUUUAAAUCAUAAACAUGUUUCAAAUGUUAAUAUUCUCGUAAUAACAAAUUUUACAGGUACUCCAGUCCCAUAUAAACAUGAAAGUAUUUGCGAUAGAAACAUACGGAGCUACAAAAAUUCCAGAUGACUCGUUCAUUCUCUCAUCUUGUUACUCUUCGACAUGUGGAUUGUGAAUAUUGUUUUUCAAUGCCAGCAUUGGCACAGCUACCAUCUCUCAGAAGGCUUGAAACUGAUGGGUUAAAUGGAGUGGAAUUGUUCCUCGUUUCUUACUGUGUCUUACGGUGGUUCUAUUAUACCACAGUUUGUUGAACGAACUAGUCUUCGGUGAAAAACGAGCUUCAACAAGUUUACGAGCCCUAGUUUCCGAAUUUCCUUUUUCAAGUUUGUUUGCCAAAUUAUGUCUAUUGAGAGGUAGAUUUUGGUACUUUGUGGAAUUCGAAUUCAAAUGUUUGGUUUGUAAAAUAUGGAUGAUGAUUUCGUUUCUGUGGAACUGUGAAUCUAUGAUCAUGCUUGAAUGUUGUAAGCCCAGAGUAUCGAAAACCCUCGGUUGUCUACUAAUCGAUCUCAAGCGGCCUAAAUUCGAUUUGUUUAAUUAGUAUUGCAAGAUGAUCUUAUCUACUAAUCAUGUCUUUAUCAAAUGAUUACCACUUCAUCAUGCCCUCAGGGAUGCACAGAGCUUCAAAAGUUUUCAAGUUGCUUCGCAUGUGUAGGUUUGAAGUCGUGCAAUGAUAUGUACGCGAAACUUAUGAGCAAACAAAAGUAAACAACUCCUAUGCAUAAAUGUUGGCUGCCAGAAAAUCUCAGUAGUACCAGAGAAGAUAAGCUUGUAAUAAAUUUCUAAUUCUCAAAACAGAGGAAACAAGAGAAAGAAGAUCUACAUAUAAGUGCCCCUAGUUGGCCGGCACACAUGAUUUCUUUUAUGAGCAUGUUCUUCAUUAUGGUGCUGUGUCCGACAUGCAUAUCCAUACCAGCAAUUUUCCCUGUUUGAUGCCUCUGUGGGUAGAUGAUAUUUGGGAAUCGAAAUCCGAAACCAGUACAAGAGCAAGGAGAUCAGCUUCUCAUAACAGUAAUUGCACGUAGGUGUCCCAGAAGUUAUUGCCUCAGCAUGAUUCUGGGGCAUCCUCGUUCGAUCAAUUUCUCUGUUGUUCAACUUUGCAAGCCAUUCUGCAAUAACAUCCUGCAAUGUUCUUCCCAACAGUGCAAUACAUUUCUCAGUGAUAACUUGUUCAUGUCGAUUGUUUUCAUGUGCGGAAGUAGGGAUUCUAGAGAUGGUCAGUUCUGAGAUUGGUUUAAAAGUCUCGCGAAUGCACACACAGCGAGAAUCACUUUGUGCAACCCCUGCGUGCCAAUAUGUACCACAAAAUGCCUGAUCACAUCCUAAACAGUGUUGAGGUACACUGUUAUUACUUCAUGAGGCGUCAUUCCUUCGCAUGCUUGACAUUGCAGAUGGAUAGUGCUUUGAUUGCAAACCCCACCAUAUUCAGUACCACAUUGAGGGCAUAGAUUUGACGCAGUACCAGCUUCAUCAUCCACCUGAGGGCGAGCCCUUAUUCCUUGAAGAUGUUUUCCAAAGUUUACAAUUCAGAUUAUAUCGUAUUGUCGCAUAAUAGUCUAAAAUUUCCACUUCGUCAUUGGGGCAAAAAAUCCGCUUUUAGUAUUUCCUCCGCAAUGUUGAGCAAGAAGUGAUCAUUUACUACAAUAUCUUCUCAUUGUGUUUUGUUCUAAUAGUUGUCCUAUUUGUUUCUUUUGUCUACCGUACUUUAAACUACCAUCACGAACAUACGAAAUUACUGUCUAUAGAGCUUUUCGGUUUUCUGGUAUCUGUUACAGCUUAAUACUAGAAAAAUUGCCCCCGCUCUGCUGUGGGGUUUCAAACUAUAAUUGACAACAGCCAUGAAUAAUAUUCAUAGAAAAAUUCACUCAAAAGGCAGCAGCAACACAAUCGCAUUCUCAAAUGCAGCAAUUUAGACAACGCACAUUUUACUUGAGUAAUUCCCACAAAAUCACAAAUUAACAGUCAUCUCCAAAUAAUUGAAAAAUCAAGAGAUAGGUGAAUCGAUACGGUAAAAUAAGCAGUUCAAUUUGAUUUUACAUUCUAUUAAGUUAACAUCAAGAGCCAAUAUAUUUAUGGUUAUGGUUUUCAAUCAGUGUUUUAUUGUCUUCUUUUUAAAUUAGUGGUUCUUUUCAAAUACAAAGUUUAGUCUUCUUAGCAAAGUCAUUAUUUUUUAUAGUGGUUGGUUGAAAUAAAGAGGUAGUAUGAAAUUGUGACCAUUAGACAAUAGUAUGGCUGUGAUCUAAUAGUAAAUGACCUUAAUUUCACACAUAAGUUUGGUUUCAAACUUACUACAUAAAAACAAUGUCAACUUGCAAGACACUAUAUGAACUGGCUGGAUAGCUAGUUGAAUAAGCUUGUUCCCCUGUUUUCCCUUUCUUUUGAGUAAUUUCCUCCUUCCCCUCCCUCCCCCCAAACCAUCUUCAUCCCAUUUUGCACUUUCCCAAAAGCCUUUUCUCUAUCCCCGUCUUCACUUUAUCACAUGCUUUUUUAUCCUAGCCAUAAUUAGACUAAUGGGAUUUAUACCUAGAGACUAAUGUGCUUUUUCACAUGCUUUUUUCUCUCAAAAUUUAUAGAAAUAUGAAAAUGAUCAUCACAAAUUUCAAAUCCUGCAAUAACCUAAAUUAAAACAAUUAUUCAAAUUCCUAAAUUAAAACAGCAUUUAGAAGCACUAUAAACUCAAAUCACAAACAUCAACAACAUGGUGAGAAUGAAGCUUUAUCUUAUAGAAAAUGAUAAAUCUUUCUCAACCAAUAUGCUAAAAAUGUCCACCACCAGUAUAUAAUAAAAAAACAGAAGGCUAACUUCAUCACAUAGCACCACCUUUAAACGCAUUUCUUUCAGAAAUUAAAUUAAGAAAAAAUUUGACAUUCACAUGCCACUCAUUAAGAAACUAAUACUAACUGAAGUUGUAUAUUGUAAAAUGCAACCGCUUUUAGAAUUCCUAAGUCAUAUCUGUUAGCAAGAAACCCAUACUAACUCAAGUUGUAUAGUGUAAUAACGCAACUGCAAAAAGACCAAGCUUCUGCUACUAAAAAGCUUUUACAAAAUCAUAAAACUCUUAACAGUUUGAACCCUACCGGAAAGUUUAUAUGAGUUGAAGAACAGUUGUACUUAAGUGCAGCAAGAUCAUAACCUCUUGCAGUUUCUCCUCCAUGUCAAAACCACCUGCAGUCCAAAUUAAGAAAGAUUCAAUGCCAGAUCAAGAACAAAAUAGUAAUAAUUUAAACUAAAAUCCUUAAUUAUUGUUGCAGAGAGAAUUCAUAUCAAGAUUAACUACAAUAUUUAAUUCGAACGGAAUCCAAAAGUAGCAUAAAUAUGAAAGGUAAAAAAUUAAUAGCAAAAGUCACAUUUCAGCAGCGAUUAAUAGCAGAAAUCAAAGUUCAGUGGCAGGGACCAAAUAAACCUCUGGAUUUCAGACUACUUAACAAAUUAGACAAACACAUAAUCCAAUUUCAUCUUUUUCCACUCAUUUUUUUCUUGCAACACUGUUGGGCACCAAACAUCACCAAAACCGAGCUCGCUGACACAUAAAUAAGCUACCGUACACUUUUUGAUGAGGUUGGCAGAGAGCUCAAUUUAGUGGCGCUCGUACCCUUUGAAUACGUCGCUCGUCUUUCCCUAAGUUUCUCUCUGCAUUCAACCCAUCACACAAUUUCAACAAUAAUUCAGUUUGAACGAUCUGAAAUCAAUGGAAUCGGAAGUAAAUACCUAUUUCGAUCGGAGAUUUGAAUGGAUCGCCGGAGACGAUGGCUGAAGAGCAGUGGCGGGUGUUUAUUUUUUGUUCUAGGUGGUGGUGGCGGCGGCUUGCUGUCGAAGCGAUUGAAACGGAUGGAAACAACAAUGUGCGCGAAAGGAAACCUCUCUCUCUACAUGUGACCCUUCCUUUCACCGCCAAAAUAAAGCAUCAAAACACCUUGGUUGCUCCUGUUAGAAGAGCCUUACUUGCUACUGUUCAGUGCCCCCACCCCUCCCUCUUUCUCUCUGCCUCUGCAACCCGCCUCUCUCUUUCUAUUUUUGCCUUACCGAAUGUCAGACCAUCCUCAGUCAAUCAUGUCAGUGGAAUCCUCACAAAAUCCCUCACUCAAUCGGGUCAGUGAUAACCUCCCUCAAUUUCCUCCCUCACCCUCGGCAACACCACCACUCUCCCAAACCUGAGAAUGACCAAAAUACCCACGCAAUUUCCAAUCCGAUGCGUCGGAUUUAGAAAGUAGAUAGGAUAAAAUAGGCAUUUGACGUUCAGGGCUUUAACCCAUUCAAUGGUCACCAUCGAAGCCCACUUCGGGCCCAAAACCAACAGCCCUAAAAGACCCAAAUUAUGGUCAGCGGUAGAGAUGUAAAUAUUCAGCCAAAUCUGAUGGCAUUAUUGUAAGUAACGUGAAAUAGAGGGGCAAAAACUUGACUGUAGCUACAGUCAAAUUCUUCCUCAGUUUUAGAAUAGAUAAUGUUGAGCCUAUGACAGCCAAAAUACAUAGCUUGUUUUCUGUUGAGACGCUUCUCUCAUAUCUGGCCAAUUAAUGAAGAGCAAACUACGACACCAUUAUUCAAAAUUUGACAAAGUGAAGUUUUCCUCUAGGAAUCUUCACCUUUCAAGCUAUAUAUUUUCUGGUUCUCAAUUCUUACAAUUUUCAUUGUUUUGUUGCUAACUUGUUUACUCACCGCUAUUCAAAAUUUGACUCUUUCUUUUGCGCUAAGUUGAUUUGCCCUGAAAUUUGCUAAGAUUGCUCAAACGUAUUUCUUUUACAAUUUUCUCUUGUGUUUGCUUUAAUCGCGUACUGACGUUGGUGAUUGAGAAAAUGACAUUGUUGAUGUCAAUGCUCAACUUUACUGUUUACUUUUUGUAUAGCUAAGUUUAUUGUAGCUCGAGAUACGUUCUUUAUAUGUGAGUAAGUCUUCCACCAAAUCAGAAACUAAAGCGUUUUAUAUACGUUGAAACGUGAUUGGAAGAUGCGUUGUCAUCCAUUCUUUUCGAUUUCCUGUGCUUGAGUUAUAUUAUUUCCUCCAUGAUUUGAAGUCGUUUCCGAAGUAUAUUUAUUGGGAUUUUGAGAUGCGCGUUCUGGUACUUUUUGGAAUAUGACUUGAAACUUUCAGAGCAAGCGCAAACCAGAGUUUACCGUUCUAAUUCCUCUUUUGAUUAUACAGUUAUAUUCUCAAUUGUCAUUACCUCGAGAUUACUUGGUAAUGACGUGAUUACACAGUUAUAUUCUCAACUUGCUAUUACCUCGAGAUUACUCGGUGGUAGUGACAUGAUUACACAUUUAUAUUCUCAGCUUGUCAUCAUCUCGAGAUUACUCGACAAUGACAUAAUUAGAUUUCAGCUUACACUAGUUACGGCUAGUGUAUGAUUUUGUAUGCAUGUAAGAUAGUGUCAGAGACCCAUUAAGUGUGGUCCUUCGGGGAUGCAAUAAAUGUGGUUACUUGCAGGUGUUUUAAUUUGGGCUUAUCCCUAUUUCGGUAGAUUUUAAUAGUUGAAAACUUGAGUUAUGACUUUAUGCAUAUUAUGGAUUCGUCACCAAUCCACGUGAUGGCCAGCUGAUAGGAUUUUUAGUAUUUGCAUAAAGAGGGUUAAAAAUCAUACAAAAUACUUGUAAGAGAACAAGGUAGUUGUAGUAAAAAUGCUCAUGUAAGGUCGUUCCCACAAGGAUUAUCUAAAACAAUUUAUGUAAAAAUAAAAUCUUAGUUAAUUAUUUGAAAACAAAGUUUGAAAAGAGUGGUUUUUCAAUCUAAAUAAUAAAAACGAAUUUAAUAAAAGUAAUUGAGGAAAAUCAACAAGAAAUUAAUUUUAAAGAAAUCAAAUUAAAAAGAAAUGGCCUUGAGAAAUAGAUUUGUAAAAGCAUUAGGGUUCCACUGUCAUCUUAACAACUCUUUGUAGAUUCACUAAUUACUUAUGAAUUACACAUGCAACUUUGAAUGUUAGGUUUUCCUAAUGCAUAUUUAACUUGUGGCAUUCAAGAUAGAACGUAUAUCAAACAUGCAAUCCGUCUAUAGCAUUCAUAUCAAAUAUAAACAUGCAUGACUCAUUAUGUUUUGUGAAAACCCUUUGAAAAAUCAUGCUACCUUUAAGACAUGGCAUUCGCCCUAAUUGACUUACAAUUAUUAAUCAUAAGAAGCAUUCCUCAAUUUCAAGGUGACAUUCCAACAUAAAUUGCGUCUGAUUGCUUAUCUAAACAUUCUAAUGGUAGCAAAGCAUUAAAACAUAGAGACUAUUUAAAUGCAGUGAUUAAUAAUUCAAAGCAUGCAUACAUAAUAUCAUAAGCAAUAAAAUAAAAACCACAUAUUCAUGCUAAGGCUAAUGGCCCCACCCUAGCAAAAGAAAGUUAAUUAUGCAUAUUCAACCAAAAGAGUUUUAUUGAAAUAGAAAAAGAGUGAAAACACCUUGUAGAAUAAAGUUUGAAAAUCUCUUAAACUUUGGCCAAAAUUCUCUCUCAUAUAUCACGUUGAAAAGAAGAACAUAGGGCCGGCCACAAUGGCUUAUUUAUACUACUUAGAAAAUCCAAUCCUUCCUAGAAAAUGACUUAAAAUAAAAUUAGGAGACCAAAUAAAUUGAAAUAAAUUAGAAAACAUAAUCCUAAAUUGACUAGGAUAAUCAGCUCAAAAUCUGCACAACGACGUUUUGGAUCCAAAUCUCCUCCAAAAGUGGCCCAAAAUAGCUGGAUUUAAAGUUUCAAAUAAUCUGAACACUUCUCCAGAAGGUCAUGAACCCAACAGAGGUCAUCUUAGGCUCAUAAAAUCGUAAUUAAGCCAAAAAAGUCACUUUUCAGCAUCACGCAUUGCUUUUUUAUUUCAUCGCUAGAAAAUAACCACUUGGUAGAAAAAAACCAAAAUUUUGACACGAACGAGCUAAAGGACUCACGAACGUCCUCCAAUUUGAAUCAAUUUAAAAUUCACCCGUUUGAUCACGUUUUGCUCCAAAGGAUGUCAAAUGUUUUAUAUUGAAAAUAUAAAGUUAAGUAUCAAAAUUAUACCAAAAUAAUUACCAAAACAUACUAAAAUAGGAUAAAAUAUAUAAUAUGACAGACCAAAAAGCUAUAUGGUAGGUGUGCCUGCUUUGUGACUAAAGUUCGCUCUGCUUUUGACCAAAGGCUCCUCCAUGCCUUGUGAGAUUUCCAAUCAGCUUCCAGCCGCCAUAAUACGGCACUAUUAGUAUUGUAUCAUUAUAUCUAUACGAAAACUUCAGUUGAUGGGACACGGUUUACCAACAGUGAUUUCACGAAAAUACCUUUGGUUUUUCUUCCCUUUCCUGCUUUGCUUUUUAAUCUUAAACAGCGGAUUUACAAAUUUCCCCUUACUAUUUGUUGGCUGGGGGUGCCACUACCUCUUAGAAGAUACCUGUUUGUUCCAUUUGCGUCCAGAAUCUCCCCAGUUCUCUCUAUCACAAACCACGAACCAAAAAAUCCUCUCUCUAAAAAGACCACGAACCCCAGCACAAUCUCUCUCAAAACCUGUUAACCACAACACAAUCCG
rnacentral:lncRNA from 1 species